UACGGAGGGUGCGAGCGUUGUCCGGAAUCACUGGGCGUAAAGGGCGCGUAGGUGGCUCGUGAAGCGUGCGGUGAAAGUCCGAGGCUCAACCUCGGAUCGGCCGUGCGGACUCGCGGGCUCGAGCGUGUAGAGGCGGGUGGAAUUCCGGGUGUAGGCGGUGGAAUGCGUAGAGAUCCGGAAGAACACCGGUGGCGAAGGCGGCCGCUGGGCGAACUGGCUGACCACU
rnacentral:rRNA from 1 species